CUACACGAGAAUUGUAGCAUGAUACAUACGCAUUCGUGACUUAAACGUUGCAACACAGAAUUAUAUAUUUGCAUCAUAUAAAUUUCUGCGGUGUGCACCAGUGUAAUAAAAAUAUUAUUAUUUAACUUGAUACCUAAGUAGUUUAACUCGAGUUUAGCUAAAUCUAGUGGAGUGGUGGUGAUAGUGCAGCAUUUAAUUAUACACUUUGGACUGAUUUUCCCAUGCUAUUAAACUAAACUAUAUAAUGAUGGAAUCAUCAUCUCCGUAUUUCGCUGGGACUUGAACCAACCCAUGACUAAACCUUAUCACUUACGAUUACAUUGAUAUAAUGUUUUGCAAGCUGUCAAGUGGCAGAUAAGCAAUCCGAGCCAAUCAGCGUAUUUAAUUUUUAGAGUGUGAUAAAUAUAUGCAUUAUUAAAUAGCUACAGUGAUACAGUGAUUUCUUAGCGAGAUUGUGCACAUACAUAUUCAUUAAACUGUGCGAAUUUUGCAACUAAUAUUUCAGAAUUCAAAAUGGGCGUACGCGGCACCGUGGUGAACCACAAUUACACCCGAAAGUCCUACAACCCCCGUGGGUACAAGAGUUUCGAAGAAUUUUAUCCCUUUUACCUCGGCGAACAUUGCGAUAUAAACAAUCGACGGCUUCAUCUCGUCGGGACGUCAUUUUCCCUUCUUCUCGUCGUCCUCAUGAUUACCGUGGGUCCGUUGUACUUGGGUCUUGUGGCGCUAGUUCAGGGCUACGGCUUCGCUUGGAUUGGUCACUUCUUUUUCGAAAAGAACAAACCGGCCACGUUCAAGCAUCCGUUUUAUUCGCUCAUGGGGGACAUGCUCUUGUUGUGGGAAGUUGUCACUGGAGCGAGGUCUUUCUAAUGUGUUACAAUUUCGAAAAAAUGGGUGAAAUAUGCUAAACUAAUUUCUUGUGAGAAACUGUAAAUCAGAUAUUUUUGUGAUAAUUCUUUCUUGUGAGGGGUGUUCUGUUCCUAUUAAAUAGAUAUGUAUUUAUUUCAUGUAUUUAAUUAAUAAGUGACUUCUUACUACUGUACAAUCGGAGCAAAUAUCAACUACCUAUUUACAAAGCUGCAGAGGAGUAUUGGAUAAAAUCUGCAUACAUAAUGAGUAGAAAACUGUCACUGUUAACAAUCUUGGCAAAAAACAGUUUCGAAUAAAAAUACAUAGUAAAAUACCAUCAA